rnacentral:rRNA from 1 species
AUUGAACGCUGGCGGCAGGCCUAACACAUGCAAGUCGAACGAGGGGCGGACGGGUGAGUAAUGUCUGGGAAACUGCCUGAUGGAGGGGGAUAACUAGUGGAAACGGUAGCUGAUACCGCAUACCAUGGGAUGUGCCUAGAUGGGAUUAGCUAGUAGGUGGGGUAACGGCUAACCUAGGCGCAGAUCCCUAGCUGGUCUGAGAGGAUGACCAGCCACACUGGUACUGAGACACGGUCCAGACUCCUACGGGAGGCAGCAGUGGUGAAUAUUGGACAAUGUGCGCAAGCCUGAUCCAGCCAUGCCGCGUUUAUGACGAAGGCCUUCGGGUUGUAAAGUGCUUUCAGCCGGGAGGCGUUACCCGCAGAAGAAGCACCGGCUAACUCCGUGCCAGCAGCCGCGGUAAUUC